GCAAAUGGAAUGCAAUCUAAGUUAGCCGCGUACAGCUGCAACGAUUGUAUGACCUACAUCUUGUUUG
rnacentral:sRNA from 1 species